GGCAUAAUGGUUGAUAGCCACGAUCUGCAUUAUCAGAUCGUCCAAAUAGUGAUUUAUAUCACCUAGAACUCAUAAUCGCUUGGUCGCUGGUUCAAGUCCAGCAGGGGCCACCA
rnacentral:tRNA from 1 species